rnacentral:tRNA from 1 species
UCCCUGGUGGCUCAGAUGGUAAAGCGUCUGCCUGCAAUGCAGGAGACUCAGGUUUGAUCCCUGGGUCGGGAA